AAGACCUUUUCUAAAAAGAGGGAAAACUUCAAAACUGCAUUUGAUUGUCAUACAUUCAGUUCAUCUGGAGGGUAUAUGCUUAAGAAAGGUCAAUUACUAGUGGAUUUACUACAUUGCGGAGCUGGGGUAUUGUUUGAUAAAUGUAAUUCGUUCUUGAGCAAUGAGGAUCUGUUAAGGUACAUGAGAAAGAAUUUCUGCUGAAAGAUUUGAAAGUCGAAAACAUGUUGGGUGAUGAUAGAAAAUUGGGAGAGAUCUGUUCAAGGAGAGUAUACAGAAUAUUGAUGGCUCAAUGUGGAAGCAUCAAGACAGAUGACAUUGAGAGCGGGGCUGAUUUCUUCAGCCACCACUCUGCUGAAUAAUUCUUUUUUCUUUGUUGGGGUUAUCGAUUGUGACAAGGCUGCUUUGGGUGCAUCUUGACUAAUUCACUGUUUAACCUAUCUAGCCAACAAGCGCAGGUUGCCAAGGCAAUCAUGCCCAUCAAGAUUGGAGCAAAUGGGCUACUGGUUGGAGCAAAUCCCAUCUAAGAAUUCCCUUUCUAAAAAAGAAUUAGUAUAUUAAUUGUAUAUAUUCCUUUUUGAAUUUUGGUUGCCGUAAUAGUAGGUAAAGAGUUGGUGUUAACUGCAUUGAAAUGAUAGCUUAGCUGUCCUCUUUAAUUGUUCUAUUUUCUGAAAGUAGUCUCAGCAUUUACCAAAUAUGUUUAUUUUUCAUUUAGUUGAUUAAUAUUUCUCACAUGGCUUCUCA